CAUUGAAACACUGCUUCUCGUGUGAUCACUGAAGUUAAACAAUGUGGAGCCUGGUCAGUACUUAGAUGGGUGACUGCUUGGGAAUACCAGGUGCUGUAAG